UGGGGAAUAUUGGACAAUGGGCGAAAGCCUGAUCCAGCCAUGCCGCGUGAGUGAUGAAGGCCUUAGGGUUGUAAUGCUCUUUUGGCGGGGACGAUAAUGACGGUACCCGCAGAAUAAGCCCCGGCUAACUUCGUGCCAGCAGCCGCGGUAAUACGAAGGGGGCUAGCGUUGUUCGGAAUUACUGGGCGUAAAGCGCACGUAGGCGGAUCAGCAAGUCAGGGGUGAAAUCCCGGGGCUCAACCUCGGAACUGCCUCUGAUACUGCUAGUCUAGAGUCCGGAAGAGGUGGGUGGAAUUCCUAGUGUAGAGGUGAAAUUCGCAGAUAUUAGGAAGAACACCGGUGGCGAAGGCGGCCCACUGGUCCGGUACUGACGCUGAGGUGCGAAAGCGUGGGGAGCAAACAGGAUUAGAUACCCCCGUAGUCCCUGAGCGGGCUGGCAAGGCGCAU
rnacentral:rRNA from 1 species